rnacentral:rRNA from 1 species
AGGACGAACGCUGGCGGCGUGCUUAACACAUGCAAGUCGAACGGAAAGGCCCGCUUGCGGGUACUCGAGUGGCGAACGGGUGAGUAACACGUGGGCAACCUGCCCUCAGCUCUGGGAUAACUCCGGGAAACCGGUGCUAAUACUGGAUAUCAACUUUGCCUCGCAUGGGGUGUUGUUGAAAGUUUUUCGGCUGGGGAUGGGCCCGCGGCCUAUCAGCUUGUUGGUGGGGUGAUGGCCUACCAAGGCGACGACGGGUAGCCGGCCUGAGAGGGCGACCGGCCACACUGGGACUGAGACACGGCCCAGACUCCUACGGGAGGCAGCAGUGGGGAAUAUUGCGCAAUGGGCGGAAGCCUGACGCAGCGACGCCGCGUGAGGGAUGACGGCCUUCGGGUUGUAAACCGUCUUUCAGCUCUGACGAAGCGAGAGUGACGGUAGGAGCAGAAGAAGCACCGGCAACUACGUGCCAGCAGCCGCGGUAA